rnacentral:rRNA from 1 species
UACGUAGGUGGCGAGCGUUAUCCGGAUUUAUUGGGCGUAAAGCGUCCGCAGCCGGUUUAUUAAGUCCAAGAUUAAAGCCCGAAGCUUAACUUCGGUUCGUUUUGGAAACUGGUAGACUUGAGUGUGGUAGAGGCAAGUGGAACUUCUAGUGUAGCGGUAAAAUGCGUAGAUAUUAGAAAGAACACCAGUGGCGAAGGCGACUUGCUGGGCCACCACUGACGGUCAGGGACGAAAGCGUGGGGAGCAAAUAGG